rnacentral:rRNA from 1 species
GAUGAACGCUGGCGGCGUGCCUAAUACAUGCAAGUCGAGCGAACAGAUAAGGAGCUUGCUCCUUUGACGUUAGCGGCGGACGGGUGAGUAACACGUGGAUAACCUACCUAUAAGACUGGGAUAACUUCGGGAAGCCGGAGCUAAUACCGGAUAACAUAUUGAACCGCAUGGUUCAAUAGUGAAAGGCGGCUUUGCUGUCACUUAUAGAUGGAUCCGCGCCGUAUUAGCUAGUUGGUAAGGUAACGGCUUACCAAGGCAACGAUACGUAGCCGACCUGAGAGGGUGAUCGGCCACACUGGAACUGAGACACGGUCCAGACUCCUACGGGAGGCAGCAGUAGGGAAUCUUCCGCAAUGGGCGAAAGCCUGACGGAGCAACGCCGCGUGAGUGAUGAAGGUCUUCGGAUCGUAAAACUCUGUUAUCAGGGAAGAACAAAUGUGUAAGUAACUGUGCACAUCUUGACGGUACCUGAUCAGAAAGCCACGGCUAACUACGUG